GACGAACGCUGGCGGCGUGCUUAACACAUGCAAGUCGAACGGAAAGGCCCCUUCGGGGGUACUCGAGUGGCGAACGGGUGAGUAACACGUGGGUAAUCUGCCCUGCACUUCGGGAUAAGCCUGGGAAACUGGGUCUAAUACCGGAUAGGACCAAAAGGCGCAUGCCUUGUGGUGGAAAGCUUUUGCGGUGUGGGAUGGGCCCGCGGCCUAUCAGCUUGUUGGUGGGGUGACGGCCUACCAAGGCGACGACGGGUAGCCGGCCUGAGAGGGUGUCCGGCCACACUGGGACUGAGAUACGGCCCAGACUCCUACGGGAGGCAGCAGUGGGGAAUAUUGCACAAUGGGCGCAAGCCUGAUGCAGCGACGCCGCGUGGGGGAUGACGGCCUUCGGGUUGUAAACCUCUUUCACCAUCGACGAAGGUCCGGGUUUUCUCGGAUUGACGGUAGGUGGAGAAGAAGC
rnacentral:rRNA from 1 species